rnacentral:misc_RNA from 1 species
AUGGCUGUUUGUCGGACCUUUCAGUAGGCACGGCUCAGCUGAAAUACACGAGCGACCCAAUUGAAGAAUACGGUUUGACUUGGCGUAAUAAUUCUAUUCGCUAAGGACGUAGAAUUCAAAUAGAGGCGCUUCUAAUGCGACUUUUAUUAGUCAUUUAAAUUUUAGACCUCAAAUCAGUCAGGACUACCCGCUGAACUUAA